UGGGGAAUAUUGGGCAAUGGGCGAAAGCCUGACCCAGCGACGCCGCGUGGGUGAUGAAGGCCUUCGGGUUGUAAAACCCUUUCGUGCGGAAAGAAUAGUCCUGUAGCGAAUAACUACGGGAUUUGACGGUACCGCAGGAAGAAGCACCGGCUAACUCCGUGCCAGCAGCCGCGGUAAUACGGAGGGUGCAAGCGUUGUUCGGAAUUAUUGGGCGUAAAGGGCGCGUAGGUGGUUGUGAUAGUCAGAUGUGAAAUCCUUCGGCUCAACCGAAGGACUGCAUCUGGAACUUCAUAGCUCGAGUACAGGAGAGGGAAACGGGAUUCCCGGUGUAGAGGUGAAAUUCGUAGAUAUCGGGAGGAACACCAGUGGCGAAGGCGGUUUCCUGGCCUGAUACUGACGCUGAGGCGCGAAAGCGUGGGGAGCAAACAG
rnacentral:rRNA from 1 species